GACGAACGCUGGCGGCGUGCUUAACACAUGCAAGUCGAACGGAAAGGCCCUGCUUGCAGGGUACUCGAGUGGCGAACGGGUGAGUAACACGUGGGUGAUCUGCCCUGCACUUCGGGAUAAGCCUGGGAAACUGGGUCUAAUACCGGAUAGGAGCCAUUAUUAGUGUGAUGGUUGGAAAGUUUUUUCGGUGUAGGAUGAGCUCGCGGCCUAUCAGCUUGUUGGUGGGGUAAUGGCCUACCAAGGCGGCGACGGGUAGCCGGCCUGAGAGGGUGGACGGCCACAUUGGGACUGAGAUACGGCCCAGACUCCUACGGGAGGCAGCAGUGGGGAAUAUUGCACAAUGGGCGCAAGCCUGAUGCAGCGACGCCGCGUGGGGGAUGACGGCCUUCGGGUUGUAAACUCCUUUCGCUAGGGACGAAGCUUUUUGUGACGGUACCUAGAUAAGAAGCACCGGCUAACUACGUG
rnacentral:rRNA from 1 species